UACGUAGGUGACAAGCGUUGUCCGGAUUUACUGGGCGUAAAGAGCGCGCAGGCGGCUGGUCAAGUCCGAUGUGAAAGCUCCCGGCUUAACUGGGAAAUUGCAUCGGAAACUGAUCGGCUGGAAGGUGGGAAGAGGGUAGCGGAAUUCCCGGUGUAGUGUGAAAUGCGUAGAUAUCGGGAGGAACACCAGUGGCGAAAGCGGCUACCUGGCCCAUUCUUGUACGCU
rnacentral:rRNA from 1 species